rnacentral:rRNA from 1 species
UACGUAGGGGGCAAGCGUUGUCCGGAAUCAUUGGGCGUAAAGAGCGUGUAGGCGGCCCGAUAAGUCCGCUGUGAAAGUCCAGGGCUCAACCCUGGAAUGCCGGUGGAUACUGUCGGGCUCGAAUCCGGAAGAGGUGAGUGGAAUUCCUGGUGUAGCGGUGAAAUGCGCAGAUAUCAGGAGGAACACCAAUGGCGAAGGCAGCUCACUGGGACGGUAUUGACGCUGAGACGCGAAAGCGUGGGAGCAAACAGG